AGCCCGCCCAGCGCCUCCUUCCGCCCCAGUCGCAGGCUGCUGACGCUCCCGCCGCCUCCGCCCCCGCCAGCCCUGCCUGGAGCCGGGGAGUGGCCGCCGCCAGUGCCCGGAUUGAAGUGAUGUGGAGAGCCCUGUGUGCCCUGGUGGUACGGGGGAUGUAAUCAGGAGGCAAGGAGAAGCAAAGGAGGAGAGUAUUGCCUCAUCUUCUGCUCACAACAAGCCCAGGCCACCUGGCAUGGGAGGGGUAUGGGCAUAGCAGAGAGCGUGUGAAUCACCCUGGACGUGCAGCUCAGUGCAGAGAUCUCUGGAGUAAUCACCCCACCUUUCCAUCCUGAGCUGCAGAACUCAACAUGUAUAAGUCAGUAUUCGCUAAGAUACCAUCCCAGCAUGGAAAGAUUCUCAGCUGCAUCUUGGCUUUGGGACAAACCAGCUCACAAAGGGACCAGUGGAAGUCACUGUUUUUGCGAAUUUCAGGUGAGCUUUAGAUGGGUCAGAUCCCAGAGCUCCCGUGCCCAUCUUUAGCAGGAAAUCACCCACUCUCCAAUAAAAGCUUAAGACUUCUUUUUUUUUUGGCACAUGACAAGCAGAGGAUUCGCUGUGCUUUACACAACCACCCUACUUCCUUUCACUUUAAGCUGUAAAACGAGCCCACGGCUUCGCAGGU